rnacentral:rRNA from 1 species
UACGGAGGAUGCGAGCGUUAUCCGGAUUUAUUGGGUUUAAAGGGUGCGUAGGCGGGUUAUCAAGUCAGCGGUAAAAUCGUGGAGCUCAACUCCAUCCAGCCGUUGAAACUGAUGAUCUUGAGUGCGGCGGAGGCAUGCGGAAUGCGCGGUGUAGCGGUGAAAUGCAUAGAUAUCGCGCAGAACCCCGAUUGCGAAGGCAGCGUGCCGUGCCGCCACUGACGCUGAGGCACGAAAGCGCGGGGAUCGAACAGG